CCUCUCGGCCCACUGAAGGUCCCCAACCCGUCCCUGCUCGCCCAGCCUCAUCGGAGCACCGCCGCACGCCAAGCCCCUGCUCCCGCCGCGGGCCCUCCUUCGGCCACCCCGGCAUCAACCAAGACCACCCGCAGAUACGCUAGAUGUGUGACGCGUGGAACUGAAGGGUGAUGUUAGAGUUGAUCCAGAAGCUGGUGUACUGAUAAACCGACCCAAAAGAUGGAAGGACCGAAUGAAGUGCAAGCUAGGACCGGAGAUGCAAGCAAGCUGGUAGCUGCUGCUGGUUUAAGCUAAUCAGGAUUCACAUCGGUUGGCUCGAUGUGACGUCCUCACGACUACAUAGAUAACGUUGUUUUCAAACCGAGCUUUUAUUUAAUUUCCGCUGCAUUUUGAACUCUGAUGUAUUACAUAAAUUCAUUUUGUUAAGCUCUGUUUUGUAAUUUGAAAUUUGAGAAACUUCUGUCUAUUUGUAAUCAUCUGUGCUCGCCUUCGGGUGAGACUUCCAGUGUUUUCGAUCCUUAACCCAACA